rnacentral:rRNA from 1 species
UACAGAGGUGGCGAGCGUUAUUCGGAAUUAUUGGGCGUAAAGGGCGCGUAGGCGGCCACGCAAGUCUUGGGUGAAAUCCCCCGGCUCAACUGGGGAACUGCACAGGAAACUAGCGGGCUUGAGUUCGGGAGAGGGAAGCGGAAUUCCGGGUGUAGCGGUGAAAUGCGUAGAUAUCCGGAGGAACACCGGUGGCGAAGGCGGCUUCCUGGACCGACACUGACGCUGAGGCGCGAAAGCUAGGGGAGCAAACGGG